rnacentral:tRNA from 1 species
GGAGAGGUGCCCGAGCGGCUAAAGGGGGCAGACUGUAAAUCUGUUGGCGGACGCCUACGCUGGUUCAAAUCCAGCCCUCUCCACCA